UACAGAGGGGGCAAGCGUUGUUCGGAAUCACUGGGUGUAAAGGGUGCGUAGGCGGUCCGUUAAGUCUGAUGUGAAAGCCCUGGGCUCAACUCAGGAAUGGCAUUGGAAACUGGCGGGCUGGAGUACUGGAGAGGGAAGCGGAAUUCUCGGUGUAGAGGUGAAAUUCGUGGAUAUCGAGAGGAACACCGGUGGCGAAGGCGGCUAUCUGGACAGUGACUGACGCUGAGACGCGAAAGCGUGGGGAGCAAACAGG
rnacentral:rRNA from 1 species